AACGGGUGAGUACACGUGGGUGAUCUGCCCUGCACUUUGGGAUAAGCCUGGGAAACUGGGUCUAAUACCGAAUAUGAUCACGGGCUUCAUGGUCUGUGGUGGAAAGCUUUUGCGGUGUGGGAUGGGCCCGCGGCNNNNNANCUUGUUGGUGGGGUAAUGGCCUACCAAGGCGACGACGGGUAGCCGGCCUGAGAGGGUGACCGGCCACACUGGGACUGAGAUACGGCCCAGACUCCUACGGGAGGCAGCAGUGGGGAAUAUUGCACAAUGGGCGCAAGCCUGAUGCAGCGACGCCGCGUGAGGGAUGACGGCCUUCGGGUUGUAAACCUCUUUCAGCACAGACGAAGCGCAAGUGACGGUAUGUGCAGAAGAAGGACCGGCCAACUACGUGCCAGCAGCCGCGGUAAUACGUAGGGUCCGAGCGUUGUCCGGAAUUACUGGGCGUAAAGAGCUCGUAGGUGGUUUGUCGCGUUGUUCGUGAAAACUCACAGCUUAACUGUGGGCGUGCGGGCGAUACGGGCAGACUGGAGUACUGCAGGGGAGACUGGAAUUCCUGGUGUAGCGGUGGAAUGCGCAGAUAUCAGGAGGAACACCGGUGGCGAAGGCGGGUCUCUGGGCAGUAACUGACGCUGAGGAGCGAAAGCGUGGGGAGCGAACAGGAUUAGAUACCCUGGUAGUCCACGCCGUAAACGGUGGGUACUAGGUGUGGGUUUCCUUCCUUGGGAUCCGUGCCGUAGCUAACGCAUUAAGUACCCCGCCUGGGGAGUACGGCCGNCAGGCUAAAACUCAAAGGAAUUGACGGGGGCCCG
rnacentral:rRNA from 1 species